rnacentral:lncRNA from 1 species
GGCUUCCAUUAUAAACAAACAAGAAUUGCAUUCAUUCACAAAUCAUGAAAAACCAGAAUUACAUAGUAUCUACAUAAAAUACCAAAAUGCUCAUUCAUCGCAAAUCAUGACAAAAACAAACCCAAUAUUCUUAAACAUAAAACAGAAGACAUUAAGAGUGGCAAAGGCAAUUAGAAGCCUUUGGAAUUACAUUCAUAGUAUACAUAUUACAAUCUCUUCAGGAACUAUAAUCUUAAUAAAACAUCUCAUUACAACAAUAAAUAAAAUAUUCAAACGAUAACUUGAUGAAAACUAGGUGGGGGCAUCUUAGAAUUCUUCAUGUCCGCAAGUGACUUGAUGAAUGAUAGGCGCAAGUUAAUAUCUGGCUGAGUUGCAAAUAAUUCUCUUGCAUCUUUGCUCAUGAAAAUUGCGCAGGAAGAAUUCCAAAAUGGAGUAUUUGGAAUCUCACUAAAUAACUUGAUGUAUGCAGUUGGAGUAGGCACGAAUGACUCUUGUACAGGAUAUGUCAUUGUGGUUGCACUUCUGUUUAACAUGUUAGUUAACAUUGUAUCAUUGAUUGGAUAGAUGCUCCCGAGUUAUUACCUUUUUCUUUUUUUUUACAUUACUGAGAUUCUCUUUGAUUGGCUAUUUGAUGGCCCAAAAAACACCUCACGGACACAACUACCCUCACCACCGUUAUCUCCCAUCCCUAGAUUAUCACUAUCCCCACUACCCUCGCCACCAAUACCUCCACCAUAUUCAUCCCAAUUUGCAGAUCCUUGACUUGAGCCUUCGUCAAUGUGUUUAUCUCCCCUCACCCUACCCCUUGCCCCUUCCGAUCCCCUUAUUCCUUCACUUUCCAUCUAAUUCAUAAACACCAAACAAUAAUAUAACAUGAGACAUAACUCACACUACCAACAUCCAUAGUACAACAUUAACAACCAUUAACAAACAAAAACUAUGAUAAAGAACUAACAUUUACUUUUUAGAUUGACCUCUUAUAAUCCUAGAUCUGAUAUUUAGAAAUAGUUUUAUAAAAAAUUCACAUAGCUCAUACAUAAUGUGUCAGUUAAAUCGAAUUUGAACAAGUAAAAUCUUAAUCAACCAUGCAAACAAAUGACAGUCAAAACAUUAAAUUUUGUCACAUACUAAACUUUUGAACACACGAAUCUUGCUUCAAACAGAGUUACUGAAAAUUACUAAAAAUUAAGCUGCUCACAUAUUCCUAAUUAAGCACAAAAACAUUAGAACCACAUAAAUUAACAGCAAAUGAAACCAUUUGAAUCGAAACCCACACGCUAUGAAACUACAGUCAAAAUUAAAGAAGUAAAGAAGAAGAAAAACCACAUACCAAAGAUUCAAACAUAACAUAACACAUAUAUACAUAUCAAAUAUUUGGUCUAGGGUUUGGUACCUGACAGCAAUCGAAGGAGUAGUAGCAGGAGUAACAGCCGCGGAGCGAAGGAGGGAGAAGCCAAGAAAUUGACGGAUCGAGCGCAGAGAGAGCAGAGCAGAAGCUUUUUUUUAGGUUAAGAGGAAAAGAGAUGUAAUUAGCAAGAUAGGAGAUAGAAGAGGAGUAACACUUUAAUAGUGGCAAAUGACCAACUUAUAAGUCAGUACUGAACAUGCCCUUAAUCAUAAAGAAAAAUCACGGUCCUGAAACAAGUAACAGGAUUAAUUUUAUUUAGCAAAAAAAUUAGCCUUGGGAGAGAACAGGAAAAGAUACGCAAGUUAGGGAUAAGCAAACUGAAAGUAGAGCUGGUUUAUAAACAGAACAAAAGGCACAACAUAAAGUUUUAUAAUAAUUCUGGGGCGACCGGUUUUUACAGACAUUUUCAGCGACCGGGUGACGUGGCUU